UUUCCGUAGGUGAACCUGCGGAAGGAUCAUUAUUGUAUAGCCGAGGUGCGAGGGCUGUCGCUGACCCGAAAGGUCGUGCACACCCGAGUGCCCUCACACACAUCCAUCUCACCCCUAUGUGCACCACCGCGUGGGUCCCCCUUUGGCUUGUUCGGAGGGGGGCUUACGUUUUCACACAAACUUUGUAUGCAGUGUAGAAUGUAUUUUUUGUUUUUGCGAUCACGCAAUCAAUACAACUUUCAACAACGGAUCUCUUGGCUCUC
rnacentral:misc_RNA from 1 species